AUUGAACGCUGGCGGCAGGCCUAACACAUGCAAGUCGAGCGGAUGAAGGGAGCUUGCUCCUGGAUUCAGCGGCGGACGGGUGAGUAAUGCCUAGGAAUCUGCCUGGUCGUGGGGGCUAACGUCCGGAAACGGGCGCUAAUACCGCAUACGUCCUGAGGGAGAAAGUGGGGGAUCUUCGGACCUCACGCUAUCAGAUGAGCCUAGGUCGGAUUAGCUAGUUGGUGGGGUAAAGGCCUACCAAGGCGACGAUCCGUAACUGGUCUGAGAGGAUGAUCAGUCACACUGGAACUGAGACACGGUCCAGACUCCUACGGGAGGCAGCAGUGGGGAAUAUUGGACAAUGGGCGAAAGCCUGAUCCAGCCAUGCCGCGUGUGUGAAGAAGGUCUUCGGAUUGUAAAGCACUUUAAGUUGGGAGGAAGGGCAGUAAGUUAAUACCUGGCUGUUUUGACGUUACCAACAGAAUAAGCACCGGCUAACUUCGUG
rnacentral:rRNA from 1 species